rnacentral:tRNA from 1 species
GCCUGGGUGGUGGAAUCGGUAGACACAGCAGAUUUAAAAUCUGCCGACUUUUACCGGUCGUACGAGUUCAAGUCUCGUCUCGGGCACCA